rnacentral:rRNA from 1 species
UACGAAGGGGGCUAGCGUUGCUCGGAAUUACUGGGCGUAAAGCGCACGUAGGCGGCUCUUUAAGUCGGGGGUGAAAUCCUGGAGCUCAACUCCAGAACUGCCUUCGAUACUGGAGAGCUCGAGUCCGGGAGAGGUGAGUGGAACUGCGAGUGUAGAGGUGAAAUUCGUAGAUAUUCGCAAGAACACCAGUGGCGAAGGCGGCUCACUGGCCCGGUACUGACGCUGAGGCACGAAAGCGUGGGGAGCAAACAAG